rnacentral:rRNA from 1 species
UACGAAGGGGGCUAGCGUUGUUCGGAUUUACUGGGCGUAAAGCGCACGUAGGCGGAUCUUUAAGUCAGAGGUGAAAUCCCAAGGCUCAACCUUGGAACUGCCUUUGAUACUGGGGAUCUUGAGUCCGGGAGAGGUGAGUGGAACUGCGAGUGUAGAGGUGAAAUUCGUAGAUAUUGGGAAGAACACCGGUGGCGAAGGCGGUUGGCUGGGGCAGUUGCUGACACUGAGGCGCGACAGCGUGGGGAGCAAACAGG